rnacentral:rRNA from 1 species
GACGUAGGGCGCAAGCGUUGUCCGGAUUUAUUGGGCGUAAAGAGCUCGUAGGCGGCCUGUCGCGUCGACCGUGAAAACCCGCAGCUCAACUGCGGGCUUGCGGUCGAUACGGGCAGGCUGGAGUUCGGUAGGGGAGACUGGAAUUCCUGGUGUAGCGGUGAAAUGCGCAGAUAUCAGGAGGAACACCGGUGGCGAAGGCGGGUCUCUGGGCCGAUACUGACGCUGAGGAGCGAGAGCGUGGGGAGCGAACAGG